AACGGAAGAAUAAAUAAAUCAUGCAUUUCAGUAUUGUGUUGUUUUCUAGAUCCUAAAGGUUAAACGGCGAGGGGUUUGAGAUGAUCUGUUUUCAAGGAAGCUGUGGAUCGACUAUUCUUGUAUGAGAUGCUUCCCAGGGUCCUAUUCGUAUUUGGCUUGGUGAUUUGGAUCAGACUCGGGGAGAGGCUACAAAGGAAGGCAAAUCGGAGAUGAGUUUGGCGUUUGAUAUUGUGGUUGCUGGUUGCCCAUGGCUAGAGGAGAUUGAGAAGCCAUGGCCCCUACUAUCCUUCACUCCCAUGCCAGAAGCUUUGAGUCCUAUUUCCUUCAAGAGAUUUCUUUCCAUUUGCAAGGGUGUGGGUUCUCAAUGGCUUGGAUAGUUUGGUACUGGGAGAUGUCUCUUGGCUUUGCAGUUGUUCUUCCCUAUCAUGUCUUCCGAUGGACAGUUUUUCCUAAUGACGGUCUUUUUAGGUUUUUGGCAGUCUAGGGUUUGACUGUUUAGGGUUUUGGGCUUAUUCUUGGACAUGUGUUUAGGAUGGGACUUAUUUAUAAUUCUAGGCCUUGAGCCUUGAACUCUGUAAGCUUGAAGAAUAGAGAUGGACAAAUAUUGUUGGUUGUU
rnacentral:misc_RNA from 1 species